AACGAACGCUGGCGGCAUGCCUAACACAUGCAAGUCGAACGAGACCUUCGGGUCUAGUGGCGCACGGGUGCGUAACGCGUGGGAACCUUCCCUUAGGUUCGGAAUAACUCCCCGAAAGGGGUGCUAAUACCGGAUAAUGUCUUCGGACCAAAGAUUUAUCGCCUUUGGAUGGGGCCGCGUUGGAUUAGCUAGUUGGUAGGGUAAAAGCCUACCAAGGCGACGAUCCAUAGCUGGUCUGAGAGGAUGAUCAGCCACACUGGGACUGAGACACGGCCCAGACUCCUACGGGAGGCAGCAGUGGGGAAUAUUGGACAAUGGGCGAAAGACUGAUCCAGCAAGGCCGCGUGAGUGAUGAAGGACUUAGGGUUGUAAAGCUCUUUUACACGGGAUGAUAAUGACAGUACCGGGAGAAUAAGCUCCGGCUAACUCCGUG
rnacentral:rRNA from 1 species